rnacentral:rRNA from 1 species
GUGCCAGCAGCCGCGGUAAUACGUAGGGUGCGAGCGUUAAUCGGAAUUACUGGGCGUAAAGCGUGCGCAGGCGGUUCGCCGUGUCCUGUGUGAAAUCCCCGGGCUCAACCUGGGAACUGCAUGGGAAACUGGCGGGCUUGAGUGUGGCAGAGGGGGGUGGAAUUCCGCGUGUAGCAGUGAAAUGCGUAGAGAUGCGGAGGAACACCGAUGGCGAAGGCAGCCCCCUGGGCCAACACUGACGCUCAGGCACGAAAGCGUGGGGAGCAAACAGGAUUAGAAACCCCGGUAGUCC